UACGUAGGGCGCAAGCGUUGUCCGGAAUUAUUGGGCGUAAAGAGCUCGCAGGCGGCCAGUUGCGUCUGCUGUGAAAUCCCGGGGCUCAACCCCGGGCGUGCAGUGGAUACGGGCUGGCUAGAGGCAGGCAGGGGAGAACGGAAUUCCCGGUGUAGCGGUGAAAUGCGCAGAUAUCGGGAGGAACACCGGUGGCGAAGGCGGUUCUCUGGGCCUGUACUGACGCUGAGGAGCGAAAGCGUGGGGAGCGAACAGG
rnacentral:rRNA from 1 species